UACUUUCAGCUGCAGGGCUGCUGUCUCCAUACAUUCUUAUACAGAACUCAAGGAGCUAUAUGCUUUACCAGUGUGAGAAACUAUGCUCCUUCUUCAGAAAAGCUCACCUAACAAGGGCAAGCUGCAACAUGGAAGUUGGAGAGAAGACUAAAUAGAGGAUGCUGGACAAGUUAACAGCAAACUGGACUCUGAGACUAACUUGAAUAUGGAAAGGGUAGAGUUCUUACUUGCACGUAUAGCAUAUUCCAUUCCCCUUUAUUUAUUAAAGGAACUCCUCCUAUUUGGAUGACUUAGAGCUAAUAUGAUAUUUGUACAAACCUGAGCAUUUUAUAUUUCCUAUAUUUGGGGAAAGAGGAGAGAAAGGGCAUCUAAUUUUUUUAACCUCAAUGUUUCUUUUAUGGAAUCUGAUUUAUUUUUUUUUUCCAUUUACAUUGUGAGGAGAAACAGGUUUUGAAGAUACUAAGAACCCAUAAGUCUGCAAAUAGUAGUGAAUCCCUGUAUGUAUAGACUGUCUGUACAAAAUUAAUUUCUGCAAAUUGAAAGCAUGAACUUAUAUAAACAUAAACCUCACAGCAGCAUGAAAGACAAAUAAAGCCUUACAUUUUAAAUGGGAAACAAAUUAAGAAAACCUUUGCCAACUUUCUCCAGCUCUGCCCAGUUGGUAGGCACUCCAAAUUUUCCUUUUGGAGGAGAUGCUUGCUGGGGAAUGAAGAAAACACUGCGCUGUGAUAAACCAAGACAGCUGUUUAAAUUGCUUACUGUAGUAUUAAGCUGUUCUUUGUACUUUUGUUUUACUGUUUGUGCCUUUUUCUUCCUGUAGCUGCCUAACAUUGAUUGGUGUAUGAGGAUACAAAACAAAUGGCUGGAAUUAUAUUUGAACAUGGCUUAAUUCUCUACUUGAGGAGACAGUGGAAGAAGAGAAAUUAGAGAUGUGCUGCCUGGUUUAAUCAUUGUAAAAAACAGUGCAAUCCCUCUGGGCCCUCUGUCAUUGGUUAGCAGCAUUAAUGAUUCUGAACAGCAAACCCACAUUUAUGGGUUCUUUUGUCUCAAAGUUGUGCAACUUACCUCAUUUCAGAUGAGUCAUGAUUUCAUUUGAUAAUAGAAUGUAACUUUGAACCUCAGACAUAAUUGCAGAGAAAAGAAGAAAACCUGUGAUGCAGCUAACUGUCCCCAGUUGUUCUCAUGCAGGUUUUUAGUGUAGGCAGUACUGAUUUCUGCCUUAAACAUGUACACGUGUUCACCGUGGAUAUGGAAAUGUUUAAGCUGACAAUUUGUAUUAUGCUCUCUCCAUUCUUAAAAAGCUGAAUUUGUAUCAUUGCACAAAUGGCAAGGUAGCUCCUCACAUCUUAUUCUAUUACACAAGAGUUACAUAGCACUAAAAGAAAGAAUUUAUUUUUCCUUCUCUGGUAAAGGAGGCAACUUGCAAAACUCUAUCAAUACAGUUAACAUCCCACUUUACUUAUUUAUCCUUCAUGACUGGGUUCUGCAAGAAUAAAGGCCUGGAUCCCAUUUCUGUAGACUACUCAGAGGUCGUAUCAUGAAACUGUGACUUUUGCCACACAGUUGUCAACGUGCAUCCUAAUGUGCUUUUCUGGUAGACACAGGUGCCUUCAGUGGCAAGUCUCUGCUAAGACAAGCUAGGCUGUAUAUUCUUCCAUGUAUUAAAGCAUUUUCUGUAUAAAAGCAUAGUGUUCACAAAUGGAGUCAUCUGCUCAUCAGCAGCUAAAGUUGACAGAAGCAUAGCUAGAAAUUUCCAUACCUUAUCCAAGGAAUAAGAUAUUCACUGCUUACUAUAAAUGAGAAAAAAGGAAUUUUUGCAAUGCAAUGCACCAAAUGUCACAUCUGAGUGCCUAGUGUUACUCCUUGUGCAAACAAGUAAUUGAAGAAGUGAAGGUGAUUGUAACAAUAUCGAUUCCCUUUACUGUUGACUUCCCCUACAAGCCACGUGGUUGCAUGUGUUCCAUGCAAAAAGACCACUACAGCUGAACCACGUUAGCAGAGAACCACAGUUUCAGCGGAAAAGUUGUUUGUAUCUUGGCUCUGGACAGUUGUCCAUUUUAAUAAAGGAGGUAUCAAAGGCACAACACGGAAAAUGUGCUCAACUGUCCUUUGCACUUUAGCAACAUCUCCCCCAUGAGCUAGAACUACUAAAUUUUUCACAGCUUCUGACUGCUUAGAGACCAGAGCAGUUUCUCAAGCUGUUUGGUGCACCUAGACCAGCAAGGCAGCAUUAACAGGCACUGUAAACAUUAGCUUCUUGCAGCCUACAUUGCAAGUAAGCCCACCUCUGGUCAUGCUCAAGGCUGCCAUUGCCUUCUUUUGGGAUGCUAUUUCACCACGGAUAUUUAAGCACAGAUGCGGCUGUCAGUAUGCACUUCUUGGUGACAGAGAAAAGCGGGAAGAUACUUGGGAAGGUUCUGCUUUGCUCUGUCACACCCCAUGUUUUUUAUUUCCAGGUAACUCAGAGUUAUUAACUGCAAAGUACCUGGCUUCAUAGGGACAGUGGGGCUUGAAAAUGCUUUUGGAAAUGACACUUAAUGAAUCAAUGAAUCCAAACUAAAUGGAGCACAACUGUGGCUUUUUUUCUUUUUUUUUUUUUUUCUCAUUUCUCAAGCAAUAGAUAAUGUAGAAAUCUAAGAGAACAGUAACACUAUUUCCCUCAAUAGAAGAAUAGAAGACAAAUCCCCCCCAACAGGUUUUGCUUUUAAGUAAAUGGGUCAUUUUUUGGAAAAAUGUUUACUUCUCAUUAGUGUUUAACAAUUCCAGCACACAGAGUUAUGCAGGCAGAUAAGCUAUUUAGGUAAAUUAAAAUAUUUAUACAACAAUAUUAGAAUAUAUUGUGUAUGAAGUCUAAUUUAGUAACUGACACUGAUUCAUCUAGACUUUGAAAGCAAACCACAGCAGAUGCUGAAAAGGAGAAAGUAAACAAUAUAUAUGGAAAUAAUGAAGACACUUUUCCCACCACCUGGAAUGAAGCACUAAAGUUAAUAGUGCUGGUUAGCAACUGAAUAAUUUACCAAGAUGCUUGAGGUAAUUAUGCCUCUUCUUAUUAUAAAAAUAGAUCUCCUUUGCAUAUACCUAAGCUCUUAAUCUCUAUAACCUUAGUGGCAAAGAGUUCUACAGGUUAGCCCAGUAUUCUUAUACAUACAUAAUAUUAUUUUUCUGUGUAUUUAUGUAUCUAUCUCUGUUGUUGUAUAUUUAUACCUUUUUCCAGACACAGCUUAAACCAUCUGUGUUUGAGUGUAAUUGCCUAUCUUAGCUUUCGAAUACAAAUACAGAGUGUGCUAAAUAAAUAUUCUUAUAUUA